rnacentral:ribozyme from 1 species
AGAUCAUAAGUUUGAAGCCACAGCAGAAGUGCUCACAGUGCAGCCCUGUGAGAUUCCAAUGAAUCUGCGAAUUCUGAU